rnacentral:rRNA from 1 species
AUUGAACGCUGGCGGCAGGCUUAACACAUGCAAGUCGAACGAGUGGCGGACGGGUGAGUAAUGCUUGGGAAUCUAGCUUAUGGAGGGGGAUAACUACGGGAAACGGUAGCUAAUACCGAGUACCAUAGGAUGAGCCCAAGGGGGAUUAGGUAGUUGGUGAGGUAAAGUCUCACCACGCCGAAGAUCUCUAGCUGGUCUGAGAGGAUGACCAGCCACACUGGGACUGGUAACAGGCCCAGACUCCUACGGGAGGCAGCAGUGGGGAAUAUUGCGCAAUGGGGGCAACCUGACGCAGCCAUGCCGCGUGAAUGAAGAAGGCCUUCGGGUUGUAAAGUUCUUUCGGUAGCGAGGCGUUAACUACAGAAGAAGCACCGGCUAACUCCGUGCCAACAGCCGCGGUAAUUC